rnacentral:SRP_RNA from 1 species
GCCAGGCGUGGUGGCGGGCGCCUGUAAUCCCAGCUACUCUGGAGGCUGAGGCAGGAGAAUUGCUUGAACCUGGGAGGCGGAGGUUGCAGUGAGCUGAGAUUGUGCCACUGUACUCCAGCCUGGGUGACAGAGUAAGACUCUGUCUCCA